CCUUUGAUCACUGAAUUGGGUUGAACUAAUUCAUAUAUUUGAAAUUAGGUGGUUGAAUAACGCUGGAACGGCCAUAUGGAUUCAAUUUCUUGAUCGACCAAUAACCUUGUUUCGACUGAAACCAAUACGUGCAAGUAGUCAAUUUGACAGUUGAAAUAAACACUGCUUUUGAAUUGCAAGUGAACAUAAAUGAACAAGCUUUCAUCUGGCUGUACAGAGUGUGAAGUAAAUGGUGCAGCAAGUAUAAAUGAAAGAAGAAGCGGGGGCGGUUGAAGAACUUAAAUAGUAGGUUUUAAUCCGUCGAGACACUACAAGCACAUAUGUAAUAUUCAAAAGAUGAUGCAACUGCAGUUCUUAGUAGUUGGGGUCAGAAAACCAAGCUUCGAUGUCAUGACAUAACAAAAGAUACAAUAAAAAUUGCACGGACAUAAUAGUUGUCAGGCUUCCAUAACAACGUUACCAAGUCGGUAAAAGCUAGGAAUAACAAAACACAUACAAGUAGUUUCAUAUUAGAGAAUAUAUGAAUUUGUGGAGCAUAGAUAAAGUCUAAAUUUCCUGGUUGGCGGAGUUUCUUUGAUGAUCUUGUUCUAAAGCUAAUACCAUUCAACUUUAAAAUGUACCUCACAGUAUCAAUCAUCUCAAUUAACUAGCCACAAAGUUUCCUUUUUAGCUUGCCAUGGUUCAGUUGUAGCAAACUACCAAAGCCCAUUUGACAAGCAGCCACUCUUUGUUUAUCUGUCAGCUGUGAAACUGCCACCGCUAAUCUAUCUGGAGUACAUCUGGUUAAGAACUUUGCAUUUGCGACUGCUGACUUCACUAUCCAUUCGCAUUGACUUUGUAUUGACAUUUUCUCUCCGGUGGUAAAUUCUUAGACAUGGAUUCAAUUUCCGUCCAGUACACAAUCAUGGCAAAUAAACUAACUACACCUUCACUACUUGAAAAUACAAAUUCAUUUUAUUUUUAUAGUGCAACUUCACAUACCUCUUUUGUAACGCAAGUCAAUCCAUCGCUUGCCUUAAUCUCACGCACGACUUCACCGCUACAAUAUCAUCAUAUGAUUGCGAAAUGAUGUAUCUCUAUAAUUUUUAAUGAACCUUUAACUAAGCUUACAAAUAUCUUAUGAACCCACCACGGCAUUGCCUUUUUAUUCUUCCUUCAAUGCUUUGAUCACCACCAACUUCUACAGCACCGCCAUCAAUCUCACAUGAUUUAUGCUUAUUACUUCCCACCAACUUAAUUUAUGAAAUUCAACGAUACCUUUAUUUAUUAUAAUCAAACUAAAGUUCAUAGCAUCAUACAGUUUACAUUCCUAGUCCAGCACAAAAAAAAAACAUAUAAUUAACCCCAAAACAAACAAAAAAAUUGGGGGAAAAAAUAAACAGAGGAGAUCUGGAACAAAGGGUAAGCAUGUAUCAUUUGCAUGUGUUACCAUCUUAAUGCUAACUGUUGAGUGUUAGAAAAUGUAUAUUUAUAAAGGAGAAAAUCAUCAUUUUACACUUCAAGUUUUACUAACACCCUUACUUUUAUGUAUUUAAGCUUCUUGUCAUUUAAUUAUGUGUGUUGUAUUAUAAUUAAGUAUUUUAUGUAUUUUAGAGGCAUCAUAGUCAUUUCACAAUGAACGAGAGAUCAGACGAUAAAACAGACAUCACUUUUGAACUCAGGACGGUGAAUUGGAUCAUUGCCUAUUGAUUUAUUGGUAAAAUUAAAAGCACCACAAAAUAACAAAAAGAAAUUGAUUUAUAUCACAAAAUCUUUCAUUUCACAUUUAAAUAUUAUUAGUAUAUAUUACAAAUUCAACUUCAAUAGCCAAAAAAUGAGAUAUCCUACUCUCAUAACUAAAUAAUCUAAAUUCAAUACAUAAAAAUUUCACCAUCCAAUCAAAUGUCUACUACUUGUGGCCAAAUUUAAUAAAUCUAGAAGCUAAAUUGAUAAUGAUGACUGUCUUUCACUCUUUGAAUAUGAGUAGUAUAAUUGCGUUAUCACACCAGCAGCUUCUCCAUUUAAUAAACUGUAUGGGUUAUGAUACAAGUGAAGUUGAGGAAUAAACACUUCAAACACAUUGAGCAAAUCUGCAUACAUGGAAAAGGGAGAAAAAAUUAGCUGCCAAUUCCCAACCAUUAGAGAAACAAUGGUUAAUAUAAAUAAAUCUAUUUUGUUCUAAAGAAAAAAUAUUCAUACACUAUUUAUAAGUAAACUCAGUUAUUUCAAAGAAAAAUUAGUGAACAAGGAAGUUGUAGUUUAUUUCCUUACAAAUACUAAAGAAAUACAGUUUAUUCCCAGUAACUACAUCAUAAUGUUGAGCAAUUAAUUACUAAGGCAUCAGCCAAGUAGUUAGUGCAGGGACUGACUUCAUUCAUUGCCUUAAAAAAAUCCAAUAACCUUGCUGCCUCCUUAUUUAUAUGCAUACUUCCAAUGCUUAAUUAUUUUGCUGCAGAGAAAGAAAGUUAAUAGAAAUGACAAACUGAUAGCGUUUCUGCAAUUUUCAGAUAAUCACACAGAGCAUUUUUUUCUGCUGUACCGUACAUCCGCCUUGGCCGUACAGCAGAUAAAACCCAAGCUAACUGGGACUUAUUGCUAUGGAUUCGAAUAUCAUUUUAAUACAUGAAAUUACUAAAAUAAACAUUACUAUAUUGUUGAGAAAAUAUCCAUAAAUUUAUUUUUAAAAAAUUUUUGCUCCCCAAUUUUGCCAUUAUCAGUAUGAAAUCUAAUUUCCUACCAACUAUAUUAUGAUAAAAAAAUGAUUCACAUAAAAAAUCUCAUAUUAAAAAUACACUUACCUUAAGUUUUAGUAUACGCAAUCCCUUUCGUUUCAUUCAAUACUACCGCAACAAACUACAAGUCACCGUAAUCUACUUUAAAAAUUCGCAGCAUCACUACUUCAGUUACAGUUAUCCAGAAUUAAGAAAAUAUUACUGCUUGAAAAAUUUCACUGACGUCUGUUGAAAUACGAGCAAAUGUUUAUAGAACCCUAAAACUAAUUUGGUAGCUGAAACAAGUUUGGACAGUUGCCCACUUCACGUCAUUGUUCAGUUUUAAAAUCCUAAUCGUUGGAUUAGAGUCAUUAUAAUCUAACGACUGGCUUGGAUAAUGAUAAAAGAAAGAGGUACGGUUAGGGGAGGACAAAAUCAAAUUCGGGUCCGGUUCGGGUCAACUCGAUCGGGUUCAGGUUGUUAGAGUUGGGCAAACGUUGAUCCGAAUGCAACCCUAACUUACGACCCGACCCGAUCCGAUCCGAUAUAUAUUCAGAUCGGAUCAAAAAUCAGGUUAGAUUCGGGUAGGAUCGGAUUCGGGUUAACCAUAUAUAAUAUACCAUCAAAGAUUCAAAGCUUCAAAACUCAAUAGUCAAAACUCAGUCUCGAAGUAGAGAAACUUAGGUUGGGUUGGAAGCUUAGAGCAGCAGAAUGCAUAUCGGGUUUGGGUCGGCGGCAUAUCGGUGGCACUUGGCACUUCGUAGCAGAUCGGUGGCCACGGACGCGCAGCGCAACAGCAGAUCAAGGACUUGAUCCGGUGCAUAGCAGCAGAUCGCAGAUUGGCGAACUCACAGCAGCAAAUCGUAGAUCGAUGAACUCACAGCAGCAGAUCGCAGACUGGCGAACUCACAGCAGCAGGUAGGCGAACACGCAGUAGGUCGAACACUUCUUGAGGGUUAGGCUGUGACUUGUGUCUGUGUGGACUCCGUUGGCGACUUGGCGUUGGCCGUUGGGUGUGAGUGAUUGUGGAUGUGUUUUGUGUUAGGAGGACCCGAGGAGGGUUGAGUUCGCUGUGACUUCACUGACUUGUGUUUGUGUGUGGAUUGUAAAUGAAUCUGUGAGCAUGAUUUGUGUUGUGUGUGAGAUUUGUGUUGUGUGUGUAUUGUAAAUGAAUUUGUAAGUGUGAUUUGUGUUGUGUGUGACUCUGUGUGGCAUGCGUGUAUGUGUUUAUUUUAUUUUUUUAAAGAACCCGAUCGAGUUUUACUGUUUUCGUCCAAUCGGAUUUUUUUUUACAAUCCGAUCCGAUCCAAACCCGAAACAUUUUAGGUCGAGUCGAAAUAAUUUACCCACCCCUGGAUACGGUACCCAAGGGGCACCAUAACUGGACCCAUCUUUUUGACCCAAAAGCUAACCUACUAAAUAACAAAAAAAUUAUUUAUUAUUUAUUGUUAUCAUUAUCAUGGGUCCAGUUGUGAUGACAAUCUAUUAUUGGCCUCGAUUUAUAGGUGGGUUUUGAUGGCCAUAUUGCAUUGACGUCUGUUGAAAUACGAGCAAGGGUUUAUAGAACCCUAAAACUAAUUUG
rnacentral:lncRNA from 1 species